ACGUUUGGAGUGCCACCAUUGAUGGAAGGCUACGGAAGGGAGAACGUCGAAAAGUGCUCAGAAAAAUAAUGUAAAAAGUUAAUUGAAAAAUUAUAUUUCGUGUAAAGUUUUGUGUAAAGAAUAUUCAUCUUUAAAGGAAGAUUUUAUUUUGUGAAUUUUAAUUCAUAUUGAAACUGAGAAAGGGAAACACUACAAACCGGCUAGCCGUGUUCCCGGUCUUGACACUGCAACUUGCCGACGUGGACGAUAAGCGUGUGAGGUUUCGAUGGAUAGACAGAAAACAGACAGUUUCCUCUGAUUUUACCGUGACGGCAUAGGUUUUAACAUUGUAAUUUGUAUGAUUUUUGUAGAGACGUUUUAAUUUAUCAAUCAAAACUUGUAAAACGCAAUUUAAAAAGGGGCGUGGUGUUUGUCAUACGUUUGUUCUCUAUCAGGUGUUUCUUUUUACAUUACUUUUUUCUACCUCUGAACCGAAUAAACAUGGAUCCGCAUGUGGUGUUAAUAGGAGUGACAGUUUUCAUAGUGUCAGCAAUUUUAAUUUACUUAAUAUCUGUCUUUGGGAUCAAAGAGAAGUCUUAUGAAGAAGCUAUUGCUGAACAGAGGAAGAGACAUGAAGAGGAGCAAGAAAAGACGAGAAGAGACAAGAAAGCAGAAAGGGAGAAAAGGAAAGGAGGAAAAACAAAGAAAGAGAAACCAAAAGAGAAAGUUGAUGAAGUCCCAAAAGAGCAUAAGAUGGUCAACUUAGAGAUAGAUGCAGAAAUCAUUGAACCCAUAGAAACAGUGGAACCAAAGCAGAAAUCCUCAGUCAAGCAUAGGAAACAACCGUCAAAGUCUAUUUUGACCAAUAAAGAUGAGAAAUCAUUGAUUGCCAAGGAAACUGUGGAAGUACCACAUUUCAAGCCACUUCCAAAAGAUGACGUAGAAUUAAAACAUGAGCAUGACCGAGACGUCAAAAGAAAAGAGAAGAUGGAAAGCCCGAAGACCAGCAAAAAACAGAAACCAGUGGAGGAGGAAAUUGUCAUGGAGCAGGUGUCAAAGGUCAUGGCACCUGUUACUGAAGGAAAACCUAAGAGACCCAAGCAAGUACAAGGUUCCCUAGCCGAUGCCUCUGAGCUGAUAAUGGCGGUGAGAACUGCACAGCUUGGUGACCAGGAUACCCAGUCCCUCAUUGAUAUCCUCCUCAACAAGCAAGGAGGAGGAGGAAGCAUCUCCUCAGAAUGGAACAAGAAAAGUCAGAAGGGGGACCCCAUUGUUUUGUUGAGACGACAACUAGAGGAAAAAGAGAGAGCUCUGCAGGAAGAGCAACAACUAGCCAUGGCAAAUGGAAACAAAAUCAAGGAAAUUCGUCAAGAGUUGACCCAUGAGAAGUCCCGAUAUGCAAGCUUGGAACGUCAAUAUCAGGAGAAAAUUGCUGCCCAGACGCAGGAGAUUCAAGCCCUUCACACACGAAUGCAGUCAACCCAUGAGAGUCACCUAAUUGAGAGCAGCCGGAUGCAGGCCCACAUCAACCAGCUGGAACAGAAGACCCAGAACAAGGCGCAACUUCAACAAGUGAUGGAGGAAAACAGAAAGCUGAAGGAAUCAUACGAAAAAACUAAAGCUGAAGCUAUCCCCCCUGCAGAAUUUAACAGCCUUCGCCAGAAAGUCUCCAUCAUGGAAAAUGAACUGUCUAACAAUAUAAUCAAGCUUAACUCGGCAGAGAAGGCUAAGACUACUUCUGUGGCUAAAUGCACCAAGUUGGAAGAAGAAAUUAAAAAACUGAAAGGAACAGAGAGUGAUUCUGAAAAGACCUGGUCUAAGAGAUUGGAGGAAGUAAACCAACAGCUGCGUAAGAGUGAGACGGAGAAGAAUACCCUGACAGACAAACUGAAGGCCGCAGAGAAGGACUGCUCAGGGGUCAAAGCCAGGCUCCAGGAACUUGAGAAAGCUCUCAAUGAUGCAAACCCCAAAGAAUUGGAAGGAAAACUGAAGGUGACAGAAACAGCCAAGGCAUCUGUAGAAUCCUCGCUGAAGACAACAGAAAAAAAAUUACAGGAUGCUGAAAACCAGAAAAAUAACUUGCAACAAGAACUUGAGAACUUGAAGAUGGAAAAUAAGAAACUGGUUAAAGAGGCAAAGAUAAUUCGUGAACGACCCUUGGGGGAUGGACAGGAGGCCCCCAAAGACAAACCCAAUGGGGACAUUAACGAAGAGGAGAAGGCAGUGAAGGAGUUUAAGACGGCUGUAGAGGAGUACAAGAAGAUGGUUGCUGAAAAAGAUGAGACAAUCCAGGGUUUACAGAAGGACAUUGAAGUCCAGAAAAAAGAAGCAUCAAAAUUACUGGAACAGGCUGAAACUCAGAAAAAGAAAAAUAAUGAGUUGAGAGAAAAGAAUUGGAAAGCAAUGGAUGCCUUAGAAAAGGCCGAAAAAUCAGUCUCAGAUAAAAUUACACGUGUUGAAAAAGAAAUAAAGGAACAGGGCACGGUGAUGGUGACAGAGACUGAGAGCUAUGAUAAAGCUAUACUGCAGAAAUUGUUCCCCAAUAUCUCAGUCAGUGACAAAAUGAGUCAUAAAGAUUGGAUGACCAGUUUUGAAAAGCAGGCUUUAGUCCAAAUAAAAACAGAUUCAGAGAAAAAAGAUGAUAGUGCCAAAUUAAAAGAGUUAGAAGACAGCAAGAAAUCUCUACAGACUCAAGUCUUAAGUCUACAGAAGGAGGUCUCAGAAAGUGCCAAAUUGGGAGAUAGAGUGAAGGAGCUAGAGACAAGCAACGCACAACUACAGAAGCAAAUUAGUAACAGCAAAACAGAAUCAUCUACUCAGAUUACAGCAGCACAGACUCAAAUCAAAGAGUUGCAGGAUCAAGUCCGACAACUAGAGACAGAAAACCAAGAGUGCAAAUUAAAUGCAAAACAGAGCAAUAGCAGCAAUGAUGCCCAAGUUAGGGACUUGGAGGAGACCAAUAAGAAACUCCAAAAACAGGUGGAGGACUACCUAGCUGUUCUUCAGACCACCGAGACUAAACUGCAGCAGCUAGAGAACAGCGUGGAGGGAGAGGAAAGGAAGUGGCAAGACAAGGCGGAAGAACUUGCCGUGCAGCUACAGCAGGCAAAAGAUGAAAUCACUUCUCUGAAAAAAGAUGUAGAUAAAUUCAAGAACAGCGAAGAGGCGCUUACUGAAUUGGAUUUUGCAUAUAGAUGUCUAGAGAAAAGUCUGACCCAAAUUACUGACGAGAUGAAAGCCAAAGUUUUGUCCUUAGAGGGUCAGUUGAAAAUUUCAGAGGAUAAAUGUUCACAGCUUCAAGAUCAAGUGAAUAAGGCUGAACAGAGAAUCUCAACUCUACAGAGUUCUAAACAACAAUCAAACACAGCUGACCCCGGCACGGAAUCAGAGAACCUGCAAGGUCAAUUAGAUUCUGAGAGGAAGAAGAGUAAGGACCUAGCCUCUCAGAUUGUGAGAUUGAAUGGAAUCAUCAAAACUGGGCAGGACGCCAUUCAUCAGGAGCAGGAACUAGUCACAAAGUUAAAACAACAGCUGGAGGAGAGGGAGAAGAGCCCUGGGACCAACACGAAUUCUGCUGCAUCAGAGCUAAAGGACAAACUAGCUGAAAAAGAAAAACAAUUAGAAAAAGAAAUCACCCUAAACAAACAGUUAUCACAAAGACUGACACAAGAUUCAUCCUAGCAGCUGUCUAAAGGCACAGUUAGGUAUCAUGUUCUUUGAUGACAAUAAAAGUUGAGGCGACAUCUCCUAGCGAUAACGGUACUUCCGUAUGAUUCAGCAGUAACCCACAGUAUCCUAACAGAAAGCUGCAGGGGAAAAAGAGCCCACAUCUUUGUUUUGUGUUUAUACAGAUUGUUGUCAGCAGUAAAACUUAAUAUAUUAGACCCAAAAAAAAUUAACCUUUUAAAGAGACAUAUGAUUAGGAUGUCUGGCUUUGGUAAUGGGCACAGCCUUAUUUCAUUUCAUUCAGUGCUAUCAGUCAGUGCAAUAGCCACAGAUUACUUCAUCGUUCUUGUUGUUUAAUGUUUAGGUUGUCUUUCACGUAUUUGUUUGGUAUUGCACGUCUGAAGGUGCAGAAUACCAGCUCUAAAGUCUUGUGAUAAUCAAAUGAUGAUUUACUCUAAGGAUGUACCUUCCACUAGAUAAUCAGUGUAAAGAUUAGUGUGCUUCAGUAUUGAUGUAACCUUUUCACAGCAUGUCUCAGUGUUAUAAUGGCUUGUUAGAAUAGGUUGCCAGAUUUUAUUAUAUCACGGUACCAGACCAAUAUUUGUGUUUGUUUUGUGUAAGUUUUAUGACCCAUGACAAAUGUCAUUACAGAGACAAAUUGUAUUACUGGCCUAUCAAGAAUUAUAUGACCAUUUAAUAUGUAAUAAUUGUACAUAAGGGCUUCUUUGAAAAAUAAAAGUUUUUGUUUAUGGUAUAUAUAAACAUAUGAAUUUUUUUGUUGAAUUCAUUCAAUAUUUUCAUGUACAUAUUCUUUAAAUUGACUAUUUAAGAUAAACUUGUGAUUUUCACCAUCAAAUGGUAUGUAAUUGGUCAUUAAUGCUAUAAUCAGUUCUCUCAUUUUUGGUCUAGCGGUAGUGGAGUGGGGUGUUAGUGAUGGUUGGAAUCUAAUUCUUAGAAAUGAUAGUGUAUAUAUCAUCUGAUUCUGGAUUUGUGUCCUUAUUUACCCCAGAUUUAAGACCCACGCUAUUUUCCAUCCUUUGGCAAAUGUUGUUAAGAAUUUUUUAAAUAUAUUGUAUAGAGAAUUUAUUAAUAUUUGCAGGGGUUUGAAGUGCAUAGUUAUAACUUCCAGAUAAUUUCAAUAGUUGCUAAUUGAGUGUUAAGGAAUAUUUAGAAGAGUUGGCAUAGUUAAGGAUGAAAAUCUGGGACCAGCUUAUUCUGUGGAAUCGCAUAUUUUUUGUGGGGACCAGUUUUCAUGGUUUACAGAUUUAUCUCCCUUUCAUGGGAAACGUGAGUUAGGAGAUAGGUUAUUUUUAUUUCACCACUGUUAGCUACAUGUAAUUUGCUGGUGCUGUAAAUUUGAUCACAGAAAUUGAGACGUGUACUGCAAGGAAUAGUAUUGAUUCCACUGUUAUGUUGAAUCAUGAACGAUAAUGUUGGACUUAUGAUGAGAUAGACUGAGCACUGUUGCCAUAUAUAGCAAUAUUUUUAUGGUGUGAAUGGCCACAAUACAUUGUAUAAGUUGUAUGUGUUUCAUUAUAUUUUAUAAGAUGUGCAUCUGAGUAUUCAUAGUUAGUCAUGGGCUAUUAUUUAUCUCAUAUGAAUUAGUUUGCAUCCAUACUUAUUAUAUAUAUCCAUAGAUCACGGAGAUUCAUCCUAGUCAUAUUUGUUUAAUUGUAUCCUUAUUUGUCACAAGAAGAUGCCAGAGUCACUGUCACAGUUGAACAGUUCUAGGGACAUUUUACAUGAGUUUGCUGCAUGUUGUGACAGGAAUAGAGAUGACUUAGGUGUGCUAGGGUGACUGUGUUUAUUAAUGAUUGUGUCACACUUGACUGAUUAUGACACAGGGUAUUGUCAGUAGAUAUAUAAACAGCAAUAUGUACCCAAUCUGUCAAUAAAUUUAUAGCCAGCUGAG